AUUCCGUGAUGAGGGCACUUCCAUAAUAAUUCUUUGUACCUAUCCCAUGCCUUAUACAUUUACUCAUUAUCCAUUUGUUGGAAAGCAGUGAUCUCGUUCCUCAACUU
rfam:Gossypium raimondii Chr11_contig_866, whole genome shotgun sequence.